rnacentral:rRNA from 1 species
GCUCCUUUGACGUUAGCGGCGGACGGGUGAGUAACACGUGGGUAACCUACCUAUAAGACUGGGAUAACUUCGGGAAACCGGAGCUAAUACCGGAUAAUAUUUCGAACCGCAUGGUUCGAUAGUGAAAGAUGGUUUUGCUAUCACUUAUAGAUGGACCCGCGCCGUAUUAGCUAGUUGGUAAGGUAACGGCUUACCAAGGCG